GACGAACGCUGGCGGCGUGCUUAACACAUGCAAGUCGAACGGAAAGGCCCUGCUUGCAGGGUACUCGAGUGGCGAACGGGUGAGUAACACGUGGGUGAUCUGCCCUGCACUUCGGGAUAAGCCUGGGAAACUGGGUCUAAUACCGGAUAGGAGCCAUUUUUAGUGUGAUGGUUGGAAAGUUUUUUCGGUGUAGGAUGAGCUCGCGGCCUAACAGCUUGUUGGUGGGGUAAUGGCCUACCAAGGCGGCGAGGGGUAGCCGGACUGUGAGGGUGGACGGCCACAUUGGGUCUGAGGGACGGCCCAGGCGCCGACGGGAGGAAGCAGGGGGGAAGAUUGCACAAUGGGCGCAAGCCUGAUGCAGCGAGGCCGCGUGGGGGAUGACGGCCUUCGGGUUGUAAACUCCUUUCGCUAGGGACGAAGCUUUUUGUGACGGUACCUAGAUAAGAAGCACCGGCUAACUACGUG
rnacentral:rRNA from 1 species